rnacentral:rRNA from 1 species
GCGCAGGCGGCUCUUCAAGUCAGGUGUAAAAUCUCCCGGCUCAACUGGGAGGCACCAUCUGAUACUGUUGAGCUUGAGGACAGCAGAGGGAGGUAGAAUUCCCGGUGUAGUGGUGGAAUGCGUAGAUAUCGGGAGGAAUACCAGUGGCGAAAGCGGCCUCCUGGGCUGUUUCUGACGCUGUUGCCCGAAAGCGUGGGGAGCAAACA